CACCGCGGUUAUACGAGAGGCCCAAGUUGACAAAUGCCGGCGUAAAAUGUGGUUAUUACAGUAUUUCACUAAAGCCAAACAUCUUCAAAGCUGUCAUACGCUCUCGAAGAGAGGAAGAUCCCCCACGAAAGUGGCUUUAAUAUAUAUGAACCACGAAAGCUAGGAAA
rnacentral:rRNA from 1 species